rnacentral:rRNA from 1 species
AUUGAACGCUGGCGGCAGGCCUAACACAUGCAAGUCGAGCGGAUGAAGGGAGCUUGCUCCUGGAUUCAGCGGCGGACGGGUGAGUAAUGCCUAGGAAUCUGCCUGGUAGUGGGGGAUAACGUCCGGAAACGGGCGCUAAUACCGCAUACGUCCUGAGGGAGAAAGUGGGGGAUCUUCGGACCUCACUCUAUCAGAUUAGCCUAGGUCGGAUUAGCUAGUUGGUGGGGUAAAGGCCUACCAAGGCGACGAUCCGUAACUGGUCUGAGAGGAUGAUCAGUCACACUGGAACUGAGACACGGUCCAGACUCCUACGGGAGGCAGCAGUGGGGAAUAUUGGACAAUGGGCGAAAGCCUGAUCCAGCCAUGCCGCGUGUGUGAAGAAGGUCUUCGGAUUGUAAAGCACUUUAAGUUGGGAGGAAGGGCAGUAAGUUAAUACCUUGCUGUUUUGACGUUACCAACAGAAUAAGCACCGGCUAACUUCGUG